CGCAUUAAUGACGUGACACCGUCACCACGGAGACACAACAACAACAUGCGGAUGCUGGGUGGAAAAGGAAAAUAAAACAUGGACUCUGAGUAUCUGAGAAGACAUCUGGGGAAAUGUCUGGCAGAGGGACUCGCUGAAGUGGCCGAGCAGCGCCCUGUAAACCCCAUCCUGUAUCUCGCCCACUGGCUGUACAAGUACAACGCAAAUGUAAAAUACGAGACGGAGAAAAAGGCCAAUUUGGCACAGCUGGAGCAGGAGCAGGCGAAAGCCAGAGAAGAGGCGUUGUACCAGGAAAGGCUGAGGGAGGAGGAGCGAAAGUUCAGUGAGGCCCUGGAAGAGUCUAAAAAAAUGGCCGAGAAGGAGCCUACAGGGUCUGAUGCACCCAUGCCAGCCACAACAGGAGCUGCUGAGGACAACAAACCCAUGACUGAAGAGAAACCAAACACCCCUGAUCCCGAAAACCAGCAGCGCACAGACGAACACCAAGCGGAAGCUCAGGAAAAGGACACUGAACAGGAGGUGAAGGUUACAGAUAAUCCAAGUGAGUCCAAUCCAGACUUUCCCUUUGGAGAGAAACAUCCUUUGGAGGCCGGUAGCUCUUCCCCCUCCGAAGCCCUCAGCACUGAGGUCAAAGAGGAGUCCACAGAAGUGCCUAUUGAAAAAAACGAAGUGGAGCCGAGGAGCGAUGGAGCAGAAGAGACAACUGAGGUGGAGCCAACUGACAAUCAUGUAGAAGAGAAAACAGGAAACACCAACCAAACAGAAGUGAAAGUUGACCAAGAUGAGGAUAAGGUGGUUGAUCAAGCUGACACGACAUACUCUCAGCAGACUGAAGCAUUACGCUCGACUCCCAGCCGAGACGCUGAUGACUUACAAACAGACAAAACAGAGGAGCGACACGACAAACAAAGCCCUCGUUCCCCUGACUCUAAACACACAGAGCUCAGGAGACAGACGGGCGGAUAGCUGGGUUCCAGUUGACAGUGACGUAACAGUAGAGGGGACAGUGUUGAAUGAGAGACACAAGGGGGAACCUGAAAUCGCUCCUCCUCACAUGGAAGACGUCCAGGAGAACAUAGACCCCUUUGUAGGCCAGUUGGCAGGAAGUGAAAAUGACAAACAUUAUUUAUGAUCUAUUUCAAAUGAGGAAACACUCCCACAAACAAAAGGAUGAAGAAAAAGAAGCAGAACAAACGUGAUCAAGUCAACGUUGUUUGGCAAUCCACUGAUCCAAUAUGAAGUUUAAAUAAUUUUAUGGCCUCAGCAUACAUGUAGUUUGGCAGAAAUAAACAUUUAUCACCAUUCAUUA